rnacentral:pre_miRNA from 1 species
AGAAGUUAGAAACUGUUUCUUAACUUUUAACUAAAAAAACUAAGAACCGGUUCUUAAAUAAAAACUUUAAGAAUCAGUUUUUAGCUGUUUUAGUUAAAAGUUAAGAAACAAUUUUUUAACUUCC